AUUGGACGCUGGCGGCAUGCUCUACACAUGCAAGUCGAACGGUAACAGGCCGCAAGGUGCUGACGAGUGGCGAACGGGUGAGUAAUGCAUCGGAACGUGCCCAGUCGUGGGGGAUAACUACUCGAAAGAGUAGCUAAUACCGCAUACGAUCUAUGGAUGAAAGCGGGGGACCGUAAGGCCUCGCGCGAUUGGAGCGGCCGAUGUCAGAUUAGGUAGUUGGUGGGGUAAAGGCUCACCAAGCCAACGAUCUGUAGCUGGUCUGAGAGGACGACCAGCCACACUGGGACUGAGACACGGCCCAGACUCCUACGGGAGGCAGCAGUGGGGAAUUUUGGACAAUGGGCGCAAGCCUGAUCCAGCAAUGCCGCGUGCAGGAAGAAGGCCUUCGGGUUGUAAACUGCUUUUGUACGGAACGAAACGGCUCUGGUUAAUACCCGGGGCUAAUGACGGUACCGUAAGAAUAAGCACCGGCUAACUACGUG
rnacentral:rRNA from 1 species